UACGGAGGGAGCUAGCGUUGCUCGGAAUUAUUGGGCGUAAAGAGCUCGUAGGCGGUGUGUCACGUCGGCCGUGAAAACCUGGGGCUUAACUCUGGGCGUGCGGUCGAUACGGGCAUCACUAGAGUUCGGCAGGGGAGACUGGAAUUCCUGGUGUAGCGGUGAAAUGCGCAGAUAUCAGGAGGAACACCGGUGGCGAAGGCGGGUCUCUGGGCCGAUACUGACGCUGAGGAGCGAAAGCAUGGGUAGCGAACAGG
rnacentral:rRNA from 1 species